UACAGAGGUCUCAAGCGUUGUUCGGAUUCAUUGGGCGUAAAGGGCGCGUAGGCUGCGGGGUAAGUCGGGUGUGAAAUCUCAGAGCUCAACUCUGAAACUGCACUCGAUACUGCUUUGCUUGAGGACUGGAGAGGAGAUUGGAAUUCACGGUGUAGCAGUGAAAUGCGUAGAUAUCGUGAGGAAGACCAGUGGCGAAGGCGGAUCUCUGGACAGUUCCUGACACUGAGACACGAAGGCCAGGGGAGCAAACGGG
rnacentral:rRNA from 1 species